GCCGAUGUAGCUCAGCUGGUAGAGCAACUGAUUUGUAAUCAGUAGGUAGCCAGUUCGAGUCUGGCCAUCGGCUCCA
rnacentral:tRNA from 2 species